rnacentral:siRNA from 1 species
UUGUUUGAGGCUGAUCUAAU